AAUCAAGAAAAGAAUGAUCAAAAGGCCGAUGGGUCAAGUACCGGUACUGCUUGAUGUGAAGGAGGGGAGGAUCAUUCGUCAAUUAUUUUGUUUGAAAAUCAAACCAAUGAUUAUUCAAAAUCGACCAAGGGUUAUGUUCGCUUCAAACAAAGCAUGUUCGAUCAGAUAAAGAUGAAGGAAAAUAAAAUGUU
rnacentral:rRNA from 1 species